rnacentral:rRNA from 1 species
UGGGGAAUAUUGCACAAUGGGCGCAAGCCUGAUGCAGCCAUGCCGCGUGUGUGAAGAAGGCCUUCGGGUUGUAAAGCACUUUCAGCGAGGAGGAAGGGUAGUGUGUUAAUAGCACAUUGCAUUGACGUUACUCGCAGAAGAAGCACCGGCUAACUCCGUGCCAGCAGCCGCGGUAAUACGGAGGGUGCAAGCGUUAAUCGGAAUUACUGGGCGUAAAGCGCACGCAGGCGGUUUGUUAAGUCAGAUGUGAAAUCCCCGCGCUUAACGUGGGAACUGCAUUUGAAACUGGCAAGCUAGAGUCUUGUAGAGGGGGGUAGAAUUCCAGGUGUAGCGGUGAAAUGCGUAGAGAUCUGGAGGAAUACCGGUGGCGAAGGCGGCCCCCCUGGACAAAAACUGACGCUCAGGUG